AGUGAACGCUGGCGGUAGGCCUAACACAUGCAAGUCGAACGGCAGCACAGUAAGAGCUUGCUCUUACGGGUGGCGAGUGGCGGACGGGUGAGGAAUACAUCGGAAUCUACUUUUUCGUGGGGGAUAACGUAGGGAAACUUACGCUAAUACCGCAUACGACCUACGGGUGAAAGCAGGGGAUCUUCGGACCUUGCGCGAUUGAAUGAGCCGAUGUCGGAUUAGCUAGUUGGCGGGGUAAAGGCCCACCAAGGCGACGAUCCGUAGCUGGUCUGAGAGGAUGAAUAGCCAACAUUGAAAUUAGGAAAGGGUCCAACUCCGAACGGGAGCAGCCGUUGGGAAUUAUGGACAAAGGGCCGAAGCCUGAACCAGCCCUUCCGGCGUGGUGAAAAAAGGCCUUGGGUUUUUAAGCCCUUUUUGUGGGAAAGAAAAAGAGCCAGGUAAUACCCCGCUGUUCUGACGGUACCCAAAGAAUAAGCACCGGCUAACUUCGUG
rnacentral:rRNA from 1 species